rnacentral:rRNA from 1 species
UACGUAGGGGGGCAAGCGUUGUCCGGAAUUAUUGGGCGUAAAGAGCGCGUAGGCGGUCCGAUAAGUCGGCUGUGAAAGUCCAGGGCUCAACCCUGGAAAGCCGGCCGAUACUGUCGGACUAGAGUCCGGAAGAGGCAAGUGGAAUUCCCGGUGUAGCGGUGAAAUGCGCAGAUAUCAGGAGGAACACCGGUGGCGAAGGCGGCCCGCUGGGCAGGAAGACGGGGCAACCCGUCGGCUGACGCUGAGGCGCGACAGCGUGGGGAGCAAACGAGG